UACGGAGGGGGCCAGCGUUGUUCGGAAUCAUUGGGCGUAAAGGGCGCGUAGGCGGCCGACCAAGUCGGAGGUGAAAUCCCUGGGCUCAACCCAGGAACUGCGUCCGAUACUGGGAGGCUUGAAUCCGGGAGAGGGAUGUGGAAUUCCAGGUGUAGCGGUGAAAUGCGUAGAUAUCGAGAGGAACACCUGCGGCGAAGGCGGGUUGCUGGGCUGACACUGACGCUGAUGCGCGAAAGCUAGGGGAGCGAACGGG
rnacentral:rRNA from 1 species